rnacentral:misc_RNA from 1 species
GUAGGUGAACCUGCGGAAGGAUCAUUACCGAGAGAGGGGCUUCGCGCUCCCGGGGGUUUCGGCCUCCACCUCUUCACCCAUUGCGUACCUACCUUUGUUGCUUUGGCGGGCCAUGGGGUUCGCCCCACGCCGGCCUCCGCGCUGGUGAGCGCCCGUCAGAGGCCCUCAAAACUCUGUUUAUAGUGACGUCCGAGUUAAAACACAAAUAGUAAAAAACUUUCAACAACGGAUCUCUUGGUUCCA